UUACAAUACACUAAAUACUUUUGGUGUUCAAUGCUAUACCCUCUAAAAACAAAAUCUUCAUUUAUUUGAAGACACAAUUCUCUGUACGGGCACUUGCCAUGACUUUAUUUUUGAAUAUUUCUGUGUUCAUGUGGUAGGGAAAACAUUGUUGUAUACUACAAAUUCCCUGUUUUGCUUUUAGGUUGGAGACUACAUAAGACUUUGACAGUUGGCGGGAAACCAUCAUCAACUGGAGAGAUGCCGGUAGAGGAAUGUCUGCGACUAAGUCAUGGGCCACUGGAUAAGGGUUGUUGAUGGCAAAACAGGUUGGAGACUACAUAAGACUUUGACAGUUGGCGGGAAACCAUCAUCAACUGGAGAGAUGCCGGUAAAAAGAUGGCCAUAAAACAGUGACCGCUGAUUCGCAUUGAGUUCUUUCUUACAUAUUGGAUGACCUAUGUUUUUUAUUGUUUAAAUCAUUGCGGCUUGGAAUGCUCUUUAAGAAAAGGUAGAGGAAUGUCUGCGACUAAGUCAUGGGCCACUGGAUAAGGGUUGUUGAUGGCAAAACAGGUUGGAGACUACAUAAGACUUUGACAGUUGGCGGGAAACCAUCAUCAACUGGAGAGAUGCCGGUAAAAAGAUGGCCAUAAAACAGUGACCGCUGAUUCGCAUUGAGUUCUUUCUUACAUAUUGGAUGACCUAUGUUUUUUAUUGUUUAAAUCAUUGCGGCUUGGAAUGCUCUUUAAGAAAAGGUAGAGGAAUGUCUGCGACUAAGUCAUGGGCCACUGGAUAAGGGUUGUUGAUGGCAAAACAGGUAGAGGAAUGUCUGCGACUAAGUCAUGGGCCACUGGAUAAGGGUUGUUGAUGGCAAAACAGGUUGGAGACUACAUAAGACUUUGACAGUUGGCGGGAAACCAUCAUCAACUGGAGAGAUGCCGGUAAAAAGAUGGCCAUAAAACAGUGACCGCUGA